CAUCCCGCCUCGAAGUGGCGCUGUCAACGUGUCCCCUUCAUACAUCUUCAGUUCGCCCCCAGCAUUGACAUCGAAUGUUCGAGAACAAUAUCUUCCAUUCUUGAAAGGUUGGUGUUGUUGGUCUUCAAAAUAAUCUCCAGCUGGUCUUUGGACCUUUUGUUUAGCCUUGAACUGAGGUGUGGACCAUUGCAUAUUGACAGUCAUGGACGAUUCUAUGAAGGAAAUAUAAGUCAGACAUGCGCACAACGUGUCCCAGUCAUUUCCGUUGAUGUAUGUAUAGCGUGGACUCGAUGUUGCUGUUCUAUGUUUAAUCCUACCUCCCCGGGAGAUUGAAUGAAUUUUCUGUAGCCCCAAGGUGAUAGGGGCCUUUUGAGGACUUCGGUGUUUCCACUGUAUGUGAUCCAUAUUUUGCAGUAUACAAGAGGAAACACGGACUGUCCGAUGGACAAGGAGCUUGGUAAGGAGAAGAAGAGGAGGAGGAGGACGACGAAGAGGAGAGGAGUUAAAAAGGGUCUCUUUUUGAGUCUUCCAAAUGUAGGGUGUAUAUUUUAUACACACACAUACACAUAUGUAUAUAAACAUAUAUACAAAAAUACGUACAUAUAUACAUACAUAUACUUACAUACAUGCAUACACACCAACCUAAAAGCAUACAUAUGCACACACACACACACACACAAUACACAUACGUACAUGCAUGUUCAUAUACACAUAUAGAAAUAUUUAUAUUUUCACAUACACACACAUACAUGAAUACACAUACAUUCAUACGCUCGCACAUAUAUGUAUAUGCAUACAUACAUUAUUACAUACACACAUACAUACAUACAUAGAUUCAUUCAUCCAUAUAUACAUAUAUGCACAUACACACGUACUUAGUAACAUAUAUGCAGACAUCAUUGCGUGCGUUUAACAGAAUUCCCUCAUGUUAUAAACAUUUCCGUCUCGUCCUCAUUUUCCCCUGUAGAAAUGAUUUCAAAUUUUGACACAAGGCCAGCAAUUUUGGUGGAGUGGGGUAAGUCGAUACGUCGACCCCAGUGUUUAACUGGUACUUGUUUUAUCGAUCCCGAAAAGGAUGAAAGGCAAAAUCGACUUCGGCGGAAUUUGAACUCUGAAUAUAAAGACGAACGAAAUUCCGCCAAGGAACUGACUGUGCCAGCUCGCCUCCCUAUCACGGCGCAAUUAUUGAAGGAACAUGUUCGAAGGGGUAAAACGGUGCGGCACUGUGGCGUUGGUGUUGGGCUUAGCAUCCGAAAGUUUGUUCCUUGUUGUAGCGAUGACUUGUUGCACCGUUUUUAGUUAAGGAUGCCGAGCACUGAGAGACGUGUUGCUCUUCAGAGUGUGUCCUGCAGCACUUUCUGUUGUCAGGUGGUUGCCCUGAUAUAACCGAUUCUUGGUGACGCUCGUUCGAAUGUUGAGUGGUGACGUUAUCGAUCUCGAAGUUAUGCGGUUGAGCCUAGGUCGGUAGCCGUUGAUUGAAAAGAGCCUCGAUUUAGGGCUUAGAGGCUGUAGUGGACGCAAACAAUACAAUUUUACAUCUAAGCCAACAUGGAGCGACACGGUUUCGGUUUCUGCUGGCGGAUCGGUGGAUAGCAGUUAUUUGUUACCUUGCUGCUGAAGUAUGGUCCAAAACAGACGUUCAAACGGUGUUAAAUAGUCAACUGAGAAUUAGUGUGGGCCGAAACCACUGUCUAAUUACGAGAGAUAAUUGUUAAAUGACUCUCAUAAACAGAGGGAGAUAAUUUCGAAAAAGAUUAAGAAUUAAUCUCAAAAUUAAUUUACGUAAUUAGGGAUAUUUAUUGUUGUUGUUGGGGAUCUUUUCUGUUUGGCUGUCACUUUUCAAGUUCUCCAAUUUUGUUCCAUAUUUGUUUCACAUAAGGUGUACUGGUGUAGUUUUGUAUGAUAAUAAUUGACAUGAAAUUCAUUUUUACCAUAAAUCAUUAAAUAGAGUUAAUAGUUUUUAAAUUUGUAAAUUUUGGGUAAUUUUAGCAAAUCAAAAGCCACAGUAAGCUAAGCUGUUACCAAGUUGCUUAUCAUUUUUCGCUUAUUAAAUUCUUAAAACACAUGAGGUAUGAGGUCGUCGUGAGAUGUGCUAAAAAUAGCUAAAAAGGCCUUAAAUCACGCACCAAAAUUAUUAUUAUUAUUAUUAUUAUUAUUAUUAUUAUUAUUAUUAUUAUUAUUAUUUACAUAAUCAUAUGAAUCGUGUGUAGAAUACAAAUUCGCAAGAAUUUUCUGAAAAUUUCAAAAAAUAAAAAAAGUUGUGGCAGGGUAUAUGGCGUGCAUAAAGCGGAAUCCCGCCACCAUUUCAUUUUACAGUCUGAUAUCAAAGCAUGUGCCAUCGUCGCAAUGUUGACAACAAGUACUGUCACGCACAAAAUGACGGCUUCCAAGUCCUGUUUUCGGAUUGGAUAAAAACGAUCAAACUUUAAACCUCUAUAACUCUUUAAAAAAAAUGUUUUUCUGCAAAAAGUGAAUUAUCUCCUGAUACAUCAAUACACUAAAUUUUAAGAUUUUCACUGAAGUUUAAAAUUUCCACAGCUGUAGCCAAGCAAAAAAAGGAUCCUCUUGUUCUUCUUCUUCUUCUUCUUCUUCUUCUUCUUCUUCUUCUUCUUCUUCUUCUUCUUCUUCUUCUUCUUCUUCUUCUUCUUCUUCUUCUUCUUCUUCUUCUUCUUCUUCUUCUUCUUCUUCUUCUUCUUCUUCUUCCAAUCAGGACUCACGCCAUUAGCCACAAAGAAUAAUCUCUAAUUCGAGCCUACUCUAAGCUACUAAGAAUGCGUGUGGUAACUCGAAGAUCCAACUACCGCACGCGAUAGACUGGCGGUUGCACGGGCGCGAAAGCUCCGAACGUAAACGGUGGCUUUUAACGGGUGGAGACCCGAACUAUUCCUGGGGUGCAGAGGAUUCGCAAUCUAGACUAGGGUCUGAAAAUUUACCACACCAUAGUGGGUUACACCAUGGUGCCUCUGUUUUGUGGCAGAAGUAGGAAGAAAGAGAAAGUUGUGGUGAAAGAGUACAGCGGGGUUCACUCCCACCCCCGCUGGAGCCUCGUGGAGCUUAGGUGUUUUUGCUCAAUAAACACUCACAAUGCCCGGUCUGGGAAUCGAAACCGCGUUCUUACGACCGCUAGUCCACUGCCCUAACCACUGGGCCAUUGCACCUCCACUCCUGUUGUUGUUUCUUUACUGUGACGUCAGACUAUGAGUGUGUAAAGUUGAACAUAUAGUUUCUAUAUCCUCACCAACGGUGGUGUGUUGGCCGAAUCGUUAGAGCGUCGGAUAAACUGCUUAGCGGUAUUUCUUUCGGCUAUGUUUUGCGUUCAAAUCCCACCGAAGUCGACUUAAUUUAUCAUCCUUUUGGGUUGAUUAAAAUAAAGUACCAGUUAAGUACUGAUGCCAAUGGUAUCAACCAAUCCUCUCUUUUCAAAAUCGAGGGCCACGUGCCUAAAUCAGAAACCGUUGAAUUUGUAAGUAGUAGUAGUAGUAGUAGUAGUUGUAGUAGUAGUAGUUGUAGUAGUAGUAAAACUCGUAAUGGAGGCGGCGGUUGUUAAUUUCGUUGCUACGUAAUUCUACACUUGAGCUUUGAGUGCCAUCAGCUUAAUCAUCAUCACCAGCAUCAUCAUUAUCAUCACUACCACCACCACCACCACCACCACCACAUUCUCAUCAUCAUCAUCGUCAUUACCAUUUCUACAACUCUUACCAUCACCACAGUAGCCACCACUGCCACCAUCAAGUUCACGUUUCAAACCUCGCUUUAGCUAAAACUCACAAAUUUCAUCCACCCGCGGAUGGACAGAUUGACUAAUAGCACCAGUCAUACAUUGGGGGAGCAAAGGGCUUGGUAGUGGUGGUGGGUGCAGACGCAAACGACUACAUCCCAUCCCUUCCUCGCUGCCAACGCGCCCAUCCUUCGCAAAUUCUGAAUCAUAUGCUUAGCACAUGGUUCCGGGUUCAGUCCCACUGGGUGCCACCUUGGGCAAGUGUCUUCUUCUAUGGCCCCAAGUCGACCCAAGCCGUGAAUGUAUGUAAACAUUUAUACAAGAAGACGGAAUGGACAGGCUUUAAUUACAAACCACAGCAAUUGUUUCUGUGUCAUGGUAACAGCUGUCAGUUGCUGGGUUUUCCUUUAUUAUAUUAACAGAAAUCCCUCGACUAUCGCGGGUGUUACGUUUCCACCCCCACCACCGCGAAGUAGAAACAGUACAGUGCUGUAUAUAUUUUAAAAUCAUUUUUAUAAUUUAUAUAUAUUUAUUUUAUUAUAAAUGCAAAAUACGCCCACGGAGGAAUGGCGGUCAGCUUAAAUAAGAAAAGGCGACAAGUGAACCGUGACAUGGCGAGAGUUUACGGUGUUAAAUAAAAAAAAUUAUAAAUAAUUAUUUAGAUCUGAUCCAGCGGCAGUCUGGUGAGUGAAUUGGAAACUAAAAGAAGCCGGUCAUCAAUCACCUGGCUGCGGCCAUGCUGGUGCACUUCUUUGAAUCGACCCCAGAAGUUAGCCUGGUAUUUAUUCUAUCGGUCUUUUUUGCCGAGCCGCUAAGUUACGGGGACGUAAACACACCAACAUCGGUUGCAAGCAGUGGUAGGACACACACACACACACACACACACACACACACACAUAUAUAUACGACGGGCUUCUUUCAGUUUCCGUCACAAAAUUCCUCUCACAAGGCUUUGAUCGACUUGAGGCUACAUCAGAAGACACUUGGCCAAGGUGCCAUGCAGUGGGGCUUGAACCCGGAACCAUGUGGCUGGGAAGCAAACUUAUUAUUACACAGCCACGCCUCUGUAUGUGUGUGUGUGUGUGUCUUUGUGUUUCUUCCCCAUGAGUGCUUGACAACCGGUGCUGGUUUGUUUACAGUUCGGCAUAGGAGAAUGACAUAAGUAUCAAGCUUAAAAAAAAUACUGAUAUUAAUUCUUUUGACUGCACCCAUUGAAGGCGAUGCCCCAGCAUGGCCGUAGUCCAAUGACUGAAACAAGUAAAAGAUAAAUAUAUAAAUGAAA
rnacentral:lncRNA from 1 species